rnacentral:rRNA from 1 species
UACGUAUGGUGCAAGCGUUAUCCGGAUUUACUGGGUGUAAAGGGAGCGUAGGCGGCGCGUUAAGUCCGAUGUGAAAACCCGAGGCUCAACCACGGGAGUGCAUUGGAAACUGGCGUGCUGGAGUGCCGGAGAGGUAAGCGGAAUUCCUAGUGUAGCGGUGAAAUGCGUAGAUAUUAGGAGGAACACCAGUGGCGAAGGCGGCUUACUGGACGGCAACUGACGCUGAGGCUCGAAAGCGUGGGGAGCAAACAGG